rnacentral:miRNA from 1 species
GUGAGACUUCUCUCCCUUCAG